GAUGAACGCUGGCGGCGUGCCUAAUACAUGCAAGUCGAGCGAACGGACGAGAAGCUUGCUUUUCUGAUGUUAGCGGCGGACGGGUGAGUAACACGUGGAUAACCUACCUAUAAGACUGGGAUAACUUCGGGAAACCGGUGCUAAUACCGGAUAAUAUUUUGAACCGCAUGGUUCAAAAUUGAAAGACGGUCUUGCUGUCACUUAUAGAUGGAUCCGCGCUUCUUUAGCUAGUUGGUAAGGUAACGGCUUACCAAGGCAACGAUGAAUAGCCGACCUGAGAGGGUGAUCGCCCAAACGGGAACGGAAACACGGUCAAGACUCCUAGGGAAGGAACAAGAAGGGAAUCUUCCGAAAUGGGCGAAAGCCUGACGGGGAAAGGCGGCGUGAGUGAUGAAGGUCUUCGGAUCGUAAAACUCUGUUAUAAGGGAAGAACAUAUGUGGAAGUAAAUGUGCACAUCGUGACGGUACCUAAUCAGAAAGCCACGGCUAACUACGUG
rnacentral:rRNA from 1 species